rnacentral:rRNA from 1 species
UACGUAGGGUGCAAGCGUUGUCCGGAAUUAUUGGGCGUAAAGAGCUCGUAGGCGGUCUGUUGCGUCGGCUGUGAAAACCCGGGGCUCAACUCCGGGCCUGCAGUGGGUACGGGCAGACUAGAGUGCGGUAGGGGGAGACUGGAAUUCCUGGUGUAGCGGUGAAAUGCGCAGAUAUCAGGAGGAACACCGGUGGCGAAGGCGGGUCUCUGGGCCGUAACUGACGCUGAGGAGCGAAAGCGUGGGGGAGCGAACAGG